GACAUUGACCUGCUGAUGGUUUAAUGAGGGUUACACUAACACUGGACCACUCCACCUCUCCAGUCUCUUCUCCUAAUAAUAAACACAGUGAUGCUGGUUUUUGUACCAGUAAGUCAUUACAGCUGCUAGGAUGGAAUGGGUGUGGUCUAUCUUUUAUCAAGUGACAGUAAACAACAAUCAAUUGGUGAAAGUCACUGUAGUACUUAUAAACUGAUUCAACCACAUGCAGUUAAGUGUGGACACAAUUGAGCUGGUUUCUGAACCAUUUCAAGUUGAACCGGCUUGUAUGUAUAGAUGUAACUUAAUUUUUGUGAUUUUUUGG